rnacentral:rRNA from 2 species
CGCGACCCCAGGUCAGGCGGGGCUACCCGCUGAGUUUAAGCAUAUCAAUAAGCGGAGGAAAAGAAACUAA